AACAAAUAGUUUAUCUAAAACUUUAGUUUUGGAGACUAAAAAUAUUACAAUGUAAUUUUGUUGAG
rnacentral:tRNA from 1 species